rnacentral:sRNA from 1 species
AUCAUUACAGAGUUCGUGCCCGGAAGGGUAGACCUCCCACCCUUGUGUAUUGUUACUUUGUUGCUUUGGCAGGCUGCCUUUGCGCCUGCCAGAGGUUCGUCAAACUCUUUUUAUCAAUGUCGUCUGAGUACUAUACAAUAGUUAAAACUUUCAACAACGGAUCUCUUGGUUCUGGCAUCGAUGAAGAACGCAGCGAAAUGCGAUAAGUAAUGUGAAUUGCAGAAUUCAGUGAAUCAUCGAAUCUUUGAACGCACAUUGCGCCCCUUGGUAUUCCGGGGGGCAUGCCUGUUCGAGCGUCAUUUCAACCCUCAAGCGCAGCUUGGUAUUGAGCCCUUGUCAGUGAUGGCAGGCUCUAAAAUCAGUGGCGGCGCCGUUGGGUCCUGAACGUAGUAAUAUCUCUCGUUACAGGCCCCCAGCGUGCUUCUGCCAACACCUAAAUUUCUAGUGUUGACCU